rnacentral:rRNA from 1 species
AUACGUAGGUGGCGAGCGUUGUCCGGAUUUACUGGGCGUAAAGCGUGCGCAGGCGGUUUUUUAAGAUAGGCGUGAAAUCCCCGGGCUUAACCUGGGAACUGCGCUUAUGACUGGGAGACUAGAGUACGGCAGAGGGGGGGGGAAUUCCACGUGUAGCAGUGAAAUGCGUAGAGAUGUGGAGGAACACCAAUGGCGAAGGCAGCCCCCUGGGCCGAUACUGACGCUCAUGCACGAAAGCGUGGGGAGCAAACAGGAUUAGAUACCCUGGUAGUCCACGCCCUAAACGAUGUCAACUAGGUGUUGGGUGGGUAAAACCAUUUAGUACCGUAGCUAACGCGUGAAGUUGACCGCCUGGGGAGUACGGCCGCAAGGUUAA